rnacentral:rRNA from 1 species
CUUAGGCGUGUGACUGCGUACCUUUUGUAUAAUGGGUCAGCGACUUAUAUUCUGUAGCAAGGUUAACCGAAUAGGGGAGCCGAAGGGAAACCGAGUCUUAACUGGGCGUUAAGUUGCAGGGUAUAGACCCGAAACCCGGUGAUCUAGCCAUGGGCAGGUUGAAGGUUGGGUAACACUAACUGGAGGACCGAACCGACUAAUGUUGAAAAAUUAGCGGAUGACUUGUGGCUGGGGGUGAAAGGCCAAUCAAACCGGGAGAUAGCUGGUUCUCCCCGAAAGCUAUUUAGGUAGCGCCUCGUGAAUUCAUCUCCGGGGGUAGAGCACUGUUUCGGCAAGGGGGUCAUCCCGACUUACCAACCCGAUGCAAACUGCGAAUACCGGAGAAUGUUAUCACGGGAGACACACGGCGGGUGCUAACGUCCGUCGUGAAGAGGGAAACAACCCAGACCGCCAGCUAAGGUCCCAAAGUCAUGGUUAAGUGGGAAACGAUGUGGGAAGGCCCAGACAGCCAGGAUGUUGGCUUAGAAGCAGCCAUCAUUUAAAGAAAGCGUAAUAGCUCACUGGUCGAGUCGGCCUGCGCGGAAGAUGUAACGGGGCUAAACCAUGCACCGAAGCUGCGGCAGCGACGCUGAUGCGUUGUUGGGUAGGGGAGCGUUCUGUAAGCCUGCGA